rnacentral:rRNA from 1 species
GACGAACGCUGGCGGCGUGCUUAACACAUGCAAGUCGAGCGGUAAGGCCCUUUUGGGGGUACACGAGCGGCGAACGGGUGAGUAACACGUGGGUGACCUGCCCUCAGCUCUGGGAUAAGCCUGGGAAACUGGGUCUAAUACUGGAUAUGACCUUUCCUCGCAUGGGGUUGGGUGGAAAGUUUUUCGGCUGGGGAUGGGCCCGCGGCCUAUCAGCUUGUUGGUGGGGUGAUGGCCUACCAAGGCGACGACGGUAGCGGCCUGAGAGGCGACUGGCCACACUGGGACUGAGACACGGCCCAGACUCCUACGGGAGGCAGCAGUGGGGAAGUAUUGCGCAAUGGGCGGAAGCCUGACGCAGCGACGCCGCGUGGGGAUGACGGCCUCGGUUGU